AUUGAACGCUGGCGGCAGGCCUAACACCUGCAAGUCGAGCGAGUGGCGGCCGCGUGAGUAAUGUCUGGGAAACUGCCCGAUGGCGGGGGAUAACUACUGGAAACGGUAGCUAAUACCGCAUACCAUCGGAUGUGCCCAGAUGGGAUGGGCUUGUAGGUGAGGUAACGGCUCACCUAGGCGACGCUCCCUAGCUGGUCUGAGAGGAUGACCAGCCAACCUGUAACUGAGACACGGUCCAGACUCCUACGGGAGGCAGCAGUGGGGAAUAUUGGACAAUGGGCGCAAGCCUGAUCCAGCCAUGCCGCGUGUGUGAAGAAGGUCUUCGGAUUGUAAAGCACUUUAAGUGGGGAGGCGUUACCAACAGAAUAAGCACCGGCUAACUUCGUGCCAGCAGCCGCGGUAAUAC
rnacentral:rRNA from 1 species